UUAUUAAAUUAACUUUUUACUCCGACGUAAGAAUGCAGUGUUUUGAUGACCUCCGAGGGGAAUGCCGCGCGAACGGCAGGGUCGCCCCCGAAGCAACAAGAUAUGUUCACAAAGGGUUGGAGGUCGGGAUUGCUCCCUCACUCAGUAAUGAUCCCUCCGCAGGUUCACCUACGGAGA
rnacentral:misc_RNA from 1 species